AUUGAACGCUGGCGGCAUGCCUUACACAUGCAAGUCGAACGGCAGCACGGGUGCUUGCACCUGGUGGCGAGUGGCGAACGGGUGAGUAAUACAUCGGAACAUGUCCUGUAGUGGGGGAUAGCCCGGCGAAAGCCGGAUUAAUACCGCAUACGAUCUACGGAUGAAAGCGGGGGACCUUCGGGCCUCGCGCUAUAGGGUUGGCCGAUGGCUGAUUAGCUAGUUGGUGGGGUAAAGGCCUACCAAGGCGACGAUCAGUAGCUGGUCUGAGAGGACGACCAGCCACACUGGGACUGAGACACGGCCCAGACUCCUACGGGAGGCAGCAGUGGGGAAUUUUGGACAAUGGGCGAAAGCCUGAUCCAGCAAUGCCGCGUGUGUGAAGAAGGCCUUCGGGUUGUAAAGCACUUUUGUCCGGAAAGAAAUCCUAGGCCCUAAUACGGUCGGGGGAUGACGGUACCGGAAGAAUAAGCACCGGCUAACUACGUG
rnacentral:rRNA from 1 species